UACGUAGGUGGCAAGCGUUGUCCGGAUUUACUGGGCGUAAAGAGCGCGCAGGCGGUCGUUCAAGUCGCGUGUGAAAGCCCCCGGCUCAACUGGGGAGGGUCACGCGAUACUGAUCGACUCGAAGGCAGGAGAGGGUAGUGGAAUUCCCGGUGUAGUGGUGAAAUGCGUAGAUAUCGGGAGGAACACCAGUGGCGAAGGCGACUCACUGGCUCAUACUGGACGCUGAGGUGCGAAAGCGUGGGGAGCAAACAGG
rnacentral:rRNA from 1 species